UGCAGCUAGACGGAAAGACCCCGUGCACCUUUACUAUACCUAAACAUUGAAGAACUCACGAUCAUGUGUAGCAUAAGUGGGAGUUGACGAUCCCUUUGCGCAAGCAAAUUGGGGAGACCAAAGUGAAAUACCACUCUUGAUCUUGAGAACUUCUCACCUCAGGACAGUGUUUAGCGGGUAGUUUGACUGGGGCGGUCGCCUCCUAAAGAGUAACGGAGGCGCGCGAUGGUAGGCUCAGGACGGUUGGAAACCGUCUGCGAGAGUGCAAUGGCAUAAGCCUGCCUGACUGCGAGACUGACGAGUCGAGCAGAGACGAAAGUCGGUCAUAGUGAUCCGGUGGUCCCUCGUGGAAGGGCCAUCGCUCAACGGAUAAAAGGUACGCUGGGGAUAACAGGCU
rnacentral:rRNA from 14 species